GCGCUCCCACCACGCCCCCUAGCGGCUGCGCCUGUUCCCUUUCCCUGCAGCGCUUGUGCCCGGCCUCCUAGACGGCCGUGGCCCACAGAGGGGGCCCGCUCGUUGGUGAUCAGGGCCUCCCUGAUAGAGGCCCUGGUCGAGCAUUGGUCAUAUUUGCUUAGGUGGCAGCACCCAGCCCAGUGCCAGGCAUACAUUGAGCGCUAAAUGCCUGUUGCAAGAAAGCGUGCAAUUGUUUUAUCCGCGCCGGUGCCCCACUAGGGGGCGCUCCAAGGCGGCCCUAAUCAACUGACCCUGCUUACGCGCACGUGCACUCCUUGCUAGAGAGAAGGUACAUGAGCUCAACGGUAGGGGGAGCGGAGGCUGCCACUACGCAGGCGCAUUCAGCGGCGGACUACCCCCUCCCCCGCACUCCUCCCUCGCCACCUCCCCUCCGCCACCCGGCGGCCUUCGCGUUGGGCACGCGCCUUUUGACGUAGCGUCCUGAAGAGGCAGAGGCGCUUUUCCCGCGUGACGCCCACGCAGCUUCAUGACGACAUUUCGGCACUGGAUGGCCGAAUAGCGGCUUCCAGCUCAGAGGCGGGUAAUGCUAUGGGUCCCACAGAUUUCCUCUAUCAAGAGGUCUCCAGCCUGGGGCAGUGGCAUGUGCCUGUAGUCUCAGCUCCUCUGGAGGCUGAGGCAGGAAGAUCCCUUGAGUCAAAGAGUUCAAGGCCAGCCUGGGCAACACGAAUGAUUUAUCUUUUGAUGGGAAUGAGGAGCUGGAAGCACUGGUUGGAGAAGGAAUCUUAUGAGGACCCAGCUGGAGGAAGUUGUGCGAGGCAUGCCUGGGGGCACAGCAGCCUGAGCAGUGAUGACCGCAGCACACAUGCAAAACCAGGAGCCAUGGAGCCCCAUUGUGUGCCCAACCAGGCAGCCUCCUUGGCUGCCUCCAAGCAGCUGUACCCCCAGCAGAUUGUGAGGCUCCAGGGGGAACAGGAAAGGAUAAUCUCUAGGUGCCAAGAUGAAAUCACACACUGGCAAAAGGUAGGGGAAACUAUAACACCCUCCAAGAGCGACUCCGAACCUUCCCCAAUAGACUGUCUUACAAGGUCAUGGUGCCAAUUGGGCCUCUUGCCUUCAUACCAGGAAGGCUUAUGGAUACCAACAAAAUCACUGUUCUCCUCGGGGACAACUGGUUUUGUUCAGUGCUCUGCAAAGCAAGCAGCAGGGCUAGCGGAGCAUAGGAAGGAGUGCGUGAGGAAAGCACUAGAUGACUUUACAAAAACCAGGAGAAACUAAAUCUAAAGUUGCAUUCACAGCAGAUCUGCAGGGAUGGAACAGUGGGGCUGGAGAUCUUGUUGAGGUAAGAGGACAUGUUCAAAACAAAUCUGAAUUAAAGAGAAAACCCUGGAUUGUGCAAAAACCUCAUUCAAAACCCAAAUCCUUAGGUUCUGAAAAUGAUGUGAAGUCCAAGGACUACCCUGGAGAUGGUCAGUUUGUCCUGGGUCAUCCAGUUAUGGGAACACUGACAUAUUUACGGAAUAUUUGUGAACCCUGCAAACGAGAAGCAUGGCGCUCAGAAUUCAUCAUGAGACCGGGAUACGGAAGAACUCUUGCAUGGAGUGGCACUGGAGAGACCCCAGCCACUGGCCAUGACAAGCCGUGGUUUGCAUUUUGAUGAACCCCGGCUGUGAAGCAGCCAUUUGCAGAGACCACAAAAUCCUCUUUGGAGGAGAAAGAAGAAUGAGGAAGUCCUCAGCCAGAGCUCUCACCCUCACCAGAAACAGGAGAGGCGUUUCCUGGGAUUGCGGGAGAAAAAGAAUUCUUACCUCCAUCUCUGACACCCCAACACGCCUCUGUUCUUCAGGUGUCACCUACCUGCCCAGAGAGAAAAGAUGCUGUGUCAGAAGAAGCUCCAAAGAGGAUUUCAAAAUUCAAAGCUGCCAGACUAAAUCUGAGACACUGGGUCCUGCCGUGAUACGCAAGUGCGUUUCUCCAGCCAAGGAUGUUUCUUUAGAACAUGAAAUUCAGCGUGACACUGCAGCACCUGGGAUGACACGUCGUGGGUUAACUCAUCUGUACUAUUAAAAUGAUUAAAUACAUUUUGCACAGUUUAGUAUUUAGAUUUUUUUUUUUCAUAAAAUUAGCAUCUUGGCCAGGCGUGGUGGUGACUCACACCUGUAAUCUUAGCACUUGGGGAGGCCAAGACAGGAGGAUUGAUUUAGCUGAGGAAUUUGAAACCAGCCUGGGCAACAUAGUGAGACCCCAUCUUUACCCCAAAUAUAUAUAUAUUUUUUAUUCGCUAAUCUUCUCUGUAUCAUUCCAAGCAAGCGCUUUGAAGAAUUUUGAUCAUGUUCAUUGUUCUUGUGUUUUAACCCAAAUGAAGCCCCAUUUUUUAGAAGUAAUUACUUUGAUGUUUUUCAUUCACUAUGGGUAUUUAAAAUAAAAUAUUAAAGUUAAAAUUUCAAAUACAUUUCACAAUUCUAAUUUACAAAUAUAUUGUUGUAAUUUUUGCUACCUAAAAAUUCCAAGUAACCACUCAAACUGUGGUGAGCUCUAAAAAGAAAGCUGUGACCCGGUGUGGUGGCUCAUCCCUGUAAUCCCUACACUUUGGGAGGCCAAGGUGGGAGGAUCGCUGGAGCCCAGGAGUCCAAGACCAGCCUGGGCAAACAUAGCAAGACCCUGUCUCUACAAAAACAUACACGAAUUAGCUGAGCAUGAUGGAGCAUGCCUGUGGUCCCAGCCAGUCAAGGAGGCUGAGGUGGGAGGACAUCCUGAGCCUGGGAGAUCAAGGCUGCAGUAAGCCAAGAUCACACCACUGCACCCUAGCCUGGGUGACAGAGUAAGACCCUGUCUCAAAAAAAGCAGAAGAGGAGGAGGCCAGGGGUGGUGGCUCACGCCUGUAAUCCCAGCACCUUGGAGGCUAAGACGGGCAGAUUAUUUGAGGUCGGGAGUUUGAGACCAGCCUGGCCAACAUAGUGAAACUCUGUCUCUACUAAAAAUACAAAAAAAAAAAAAAAAAUUAACUGGGUGCGGUGGCACAUUCCUGUAGUCCCAGCUUCUCAGGAGGCUGAGGCAGGAGAAUCACUUGAAACCAGGAGACAGAGAUUGACGUUAGCCAAGAUCCCGCCGCUGUACUCCAGCCUGGGGUGACAAACAGAGACUCUGAGAAAGAAAGAAAAAGAAAUUAAAAAAGAGAGAAAGAGAGAGAGAGGGAGGGUGGGAGAAAGGAAGGAAGAAAGUGAAGGAAGGAAGGGAGGGAGGGAGGGAGGGAAGGGAAGGAGAGAAAGAGAAAAUGAAAGAAGAAAGCUGGAAACAAAAGAGGAAGGGAGGGAGGGAAAAGAAAAGAAAAAUUUAAAAGCUGGAACCUCAGAAGAGAGAUUUUUAAAAAUAAUUGUAAAUAAGUGUGUGCGGUGUGUGUGUGUGUGUGUGUGUGUGUGUGUGUGUGGGUGGAGAGGCAGAGAGAGAUGCAUUUAUAGGAGUUGGUGUAGGAUGGGCUGCUGAGUAAGACAGAGGACCCAAAGGUAAUCCAAGGUCUUUGAAUGGGAGCUGAAGUGCUUGUAGAGUCAUUUACUAAGAUGGGAAUGCCAGGGAGAGGAUGGAAGUAGAAAGGCCAACAGCCUGGCAGUAGGAGUUAUACAAGGAGAGGGAAAAAAACAUAGAGCAAUGAAUAUUUGAGGAAUUAAUAGAGCUCUUCACAGCCAUUUUAAGUUUGUUAUCACAGAUGGUUGUUUUACUCUGAUGCUUUUCUGAAAGCCCUGUGGUUACAGAUGUGAGGCACCUCGCCCAGCAACCAGCUACAAGCCAAAGUGCUUCAUCCUCAACAAGAAGGCACUGUCUCAGGCCCCAAGCCCCUAACUCCAUGAUCCAGCCUGCCUGAGCUUCUGCAUGUGUCCUGGCCUUCUCCAUGGAAGUUGGUCUGUAGCCACAGAGCAAACCACAGGGCCAGUGACAGAGAAGGUAGAGGGGAGUAAGGAGUGGGAAGCACCUCACCUGUUCUCUAGGAGGGUAAGUCCUGCCCUUGGUUAAGGUGAGUGCAAGAACCAUGACCCCUGAGAGCUCACAGGGCACAAGGCCCCUGCUGUAGAUAGAUGGAGGCUCAGUUUUGGUUUUGUUCAUGUUUUUCGGGUCUUGUUUAUUCCAGAAUUUAUCUGUAUUUACCCUAGGAUUCCAGAACCAUGGCAGGGACUUUAGAUAUCUAGAUUCAACAGAAUCUCAAUCAAAAUCCCACUACAUUUUUGAGAACUUGACAACUAAAAUUUAUAUGGAAAUGCAAAAAGCCAAGGUUAACCAACACUCUCCUAAGAAGACAUUUUUGCCUACCAGAUAUCAGAACUCAUCAUGAAAAUUAUGGAAAUUAAGAUAGUGUAGGAGUGGGGAAAGCAUAGACAAAUGGCACAGAAUGAGAGCAGAAAGAGACCCCACACUGGUCUGCCCAUGGGUGACUAUUGAGCACUUGAGAUGUGUUAUUAAGUGUAGAACUUGCACUGGAAUUUUUUUUAAAGAAUUAUUACCAAACCUGGGGCAUAUUAGAUACAACCAAUUUUAAACUUACAUCUUUUAAAUAAACUUUGAAGUGUUUCACACAUAUAUUCAAAUUGGCAUGCAACGGUUGUCCUAAGGUGAAAGUCACCUUAUCAAUAAACUGUUGCAACGUUGAAAAAGUAUUUAUCCUGAACAUGAAAAACGGUAACAAAUUUAAUUAUAUAAAACUCGUCACUUUUAGUUUUCCCCUUGCAAAGAUCCAAAUCAAUGUACAAGUAAGUAAUAUAUAUGAGUCUUAACGCAAUCCUGGAUCAUCCCCAUACCAAAACCAGAUGUUCUUUUAAUUUUAAACCCAUCAUCAGAGAACAAGAGAAAGUCAUUUCAUUUUACACAGAACAAAAUUCACAUGUGCCAAAAAAGAAAGACCCAAGAGAAACAAAACAAACACCCUGGUGCUCACACUGAUGUCCAGUGCCCCAGUUAAACAGUGGCCCAAAGGUCACUGAUCAAAAAUAAAGUAGUGGCUGUAUAUCACUGCAAUUAAAUCUAAGAGACAUCAGAAAUCCAGAUGUUUCGAAUUAGGUAAAUGCAUAUGUACAAGUGUGGAAUGAGAAAGAGCCACCCUUCACUAGGACACCCAGAGAAUUGGCUUUAACAGCCAAUUAGAAGUUAGGUAGAAACCCAAAAAUGGUUAUUAGCUGCUUGUGUCAUCGAUUUAAGUGGAGGUGAUUCAGUCCUAAGGCUCAGUGUUAAAAUGUAUGGGGCAAAAUGUAUGCUGAGUCAUAGCUUUAAAGCAAAACAAGAAAGCAAAGUAUAAAACUACCCAGACUGGCAGCAUAGGCCCAAGUCAGAGAGCUCUGCCAUUAGGAUGCACAGAAACUGUUAAGGUUCUUACUGUUUUUUCUCAGAAGGACUCAACAAAAAUGAAUCUUAAACCACAGAAUGAGGAGAUCCAAAGAACGCCAAUUUGUGCUGAUUUCCUGAGCAAAGUGCCUUUUAUUAUGAAAAUAAAAAGAAAGGAAGAAAUAAUAAAAACUAUACUCCCUUGGUCGGGCGCGGUGGCUCACGCCUGUAAUCCCAGCACUUUGGGAGGCCGAGGCGGGUGGAUCACGAGGUCAAGAGAUCAAGACCAUCCUGGUCAACAAGGUGAAACCCCGUCUCUACUAAAAAUACAAAAAAUUAGCCGGGCAUGGUGGCGCAUGCCUGUAGUCCCAGCUACUCAGGAGGCUGAGGCAGGAGAAUUGCUUGAACCCGGGAGGCAGAGGUUGCGGUGAGCGGAGAUCGCACCACUGCACUCCAGCCUGGGUAACAAGGGAAACUCCAUCUCAAAAAAAACCAAAAAACUAUACUCCCAUAUUUCACUUACCAGUGUUUGAGUUCCUGGAAGAACCUAUAUAAUGGAAACAGCUUUCAAAUAAGAAAUUAAUGCCGAUCAACUGUCAAAUAUUUACUAUAACUUUCCUUCAUCACACCCCGCUAAUUUUUUGUAUUUAGUAGAGACGGGGUUUCACCAUGUUGCUGAAAUCCUGACCUCAGGCGAUCUGCCUGCCUCGGCCUCCCAAAGGGCUGGGAUUACAGGCAUGAGCCACCGUGCCCAGCCAUGUCUCAAUUUUUAUAUUGAAAUUUUGAAAUUAUUUUAUCAGGUUCCUUUUUCUCCUUCAAUGUGGAUACUAGAUGAUACUGAGUAUAGAUAGACAGUAUUUAGUCUAGAUAGACAGUAAGUGUCACAUUUCAUAUUUUUAUUGGAUGGCCCUGAUCUACAAGAUGACAGAAAAAUAUCUUCAGGACAUCAAAUUAGGAAAAGAUGCCAUAAGUGGCAGUGAAGAAGCAGUAACCAUAAAGGGAAAGACUAAUAUUCUGACCACAUUUAAAGUUUCAGUGUCAAAAUCACAGCAUUAAGAGACUAAAACGACAAGCCACUCAGAAAAUAUAUUUGCAGCACAGACGAUUCUCACUAAAGAACUUCAACAAACUAAUAAACAGACAAGCAAUUCAACACUGUCUCCCAGACACUCAAAUGCAUCCCGCAGCACAUGGUGUCCAGAAUGAAUGAAUGAACACAUGGUGGAGAAGAACACAGGCUUUCAAGUUGGUGUUUAGGUGCUCACUACACUUGGGGUGGCUAAUUCCCCCAUCCUGGGCAUACUUUUGGAACUUUUAAAGUAAAUGAUAUUGUAUAAAGUAUCUAGAGUUAUUCACAGAAAAUAAAAAGGUAAGAUGUGGGCUGCCAGGGGCUGGAGGGACAGGGAGAUGCAGAGUUGUUUCAUGUGCGUGAAGAUGUUCUGGGGAUAGGUUUCAUGCAACAUGAAUAUCCUUAGUAUGACUAUAUUGUGUACUUAAAAAUGCCUACUAUAGGGAGGCUGAGGUGGGCAGAUCAGAAGGUCAGGAGUUGGAGACCAGCCUGGCAAAUACGGUGAAACCCCGUCUCUUCUGAAAAUACAAAAAAGUUAGCCGGGCGUGGUGGUGCACACCUGUAAUCUCAGCUACUCAGGAGGCUGAGGCAGGAGAAUUACUUGAACCCAGGAGGCAGAGGUUGCAGUGAGCUGAGAUCCUGCCACUGCACUCCAGCUUGGGUGACAGAUCGAGAUUGUGUCUUGAAAAAAAGCCUAAGAUGGUAAGUUUAGCAUUUUUUUUUAACAUUUAAUGUGUAUUUUGCAACAAUUCAAUAUUUUAAAAAACUCUAAAGUUCCCAUGUUAUGAGGAUUGGAAAGAGCUAUUCUGUCUAUAUUAUAUGUUGGUGAUAUUGGCUACAUUGGCCAGAAUGUUCUGUUACACAGAAAACCUCCAGUUUUCUGAGAUAGAAACAGAGUUUAAAUUCUGGAUGUCUGCUUUUAAGUGGGAGAGGUUUAUGGCUCCUUACAAAAUUUCUUUUAGGGAAUGAUUGGCCAACACGAGAUCCAGUCGUAUGUCCACUCUCAUAUGUCCAUUGUCAGCCACUUGGUGGUGAGUCCUUUCAAGGCCCUGUGCAGGGGCAGUUCCAGUGACCACGCAGGUGCUGAGAAGCCCCGGCAGCAGGGUACCACAUGGACACUUGCCUGGAGAAAGCAUAGAAUGCUGUUGCCUGGAGUUGGCAGAAGGCAUGGAGCAGGCGGGCAGCAAGGGGGUGCUCAAGAGUGCUCCUGACCAGACUAAGCAGCGUGGAGGCCAUGGUGGGACACCUGAGGGAGGAGGAGACCUCAGAUGAGGUUAAUCAGGACCAGGUCUUGUGGGGACUGCCUGACCAUAUCAAGCAGUCUGGAGGCCAUGGUGGGACACAUGAGGGAGAAGGAGAGCCCAGAUGAUGGUUCAUCUGGACCAGAUGUUAUGGGGACUGCCUGACCAGACCAAGCAGCAUGGAUGCCGUGAUGGGACACCUGAGGGAGAAGGUGACCUCAGAUGAGGUUAAUCAGGACCAGAUCUUGUGGUGACUCCCUGACCAGAUCAAGCAGCAUGGAGAACACGGUGGGACACCAGAGGGAGAAGUUGAUCUCAGAUGAGGUUAAUCAGGACCAGAUCUUGUGGGGACUCUCUGACCAGAUCAAGCAGCAUGAAGGCCACGGUGGGUCACCUGAGGGACAAUGCGACCCCAGAUGAGGUUCAGCAGGACCAAUCUUGAGGGAACUGCACUUCAAAGUGUUAUGAACCCACCAACACUAUGUGCAGCAUCACAAGUACCCUCUGCAAGGAUGAGGGACCCGGCAGGAUGGAGGAAAGGCCAGAGAGGGGAGUUCACCCCUGGGAAGAAGGAGAGUCAUGGGGGCUGUGGAAUGAGGGGUGUGGGUCCCAGUGAAGGAGAAUAUGACUUCUCACACCCCAAUUUUAGCGAUGCCUUUGGAGGGAGCCUUGCCCACAUCACAUGAGAUGUAUUAAAUAUGCUAAAAUGCAACCACAUCCCAUGAAACAUUUUCAUUGUAGAAAUGAA